rnacentral:tRNA from 1 species
GCACUAUGUAGCUCACUUGGUUAGAGCAUGGUGCUGAUAAAACCAAGGUUGCUGGUUUGAUCCCUGUAUGGGACA